rnacentral:lncRNA from 1 species
AGAAUUUCAAACACAGCUCUCACUGUACCUGGGCACAGGAACAUUUGUAGGGCAAUAAUGUCACGGAGUGCUGAUCUUACUCAAGGUGCUACUGUGCUGCUCACUGGUGCCGUGAAAAAUGCCACAGCAAGUAAUGAGAGCUUGUCCAUUGAUAUAAUCCAGCUUUGCACCAGACAACUCAAACCAUUCAUCAUAAACGUUCAUCCUUAAAAAUCCAGGUAGGGUUCAGAGAAUGAUGAAGCCUAGACCCAGAGGAACACCAGAGAUGCAAAAGGAAUGCCCAAGGAAUCCAGGACUGUGGCAAAUUCUGUUCCUCCAUGCUUCUUCCUCCAAGCUCCUAAACUUCUGCCUGAGCUGAUUGCAGGCAACAUCAGACCUUUCUCCACUGAAGCUCAAGCUGAAAACCUGCUGGGAAGAAAGGCUCCACUUUUCUUCUAUCAAGGAACGAUGUGAUAUUUCUUCAGAUGUACACCUGCCUACAGCUCUGUAAAUUACUGCAGGAAGAGGAGCUGGCUACCAUUUGGCCUUUGAGGACAACACAAUAAUAUUUUGUGCCAGAUGCUAGGCUAUUGGCAGGGCACACUGUGUGGCAGUAGGCAAAUGGUGCCAGAGAGAUACAGUUGUCCAUAAACCAGAGAUGCAACUUCACCUGGUCAUCCUGUCUCCAAAAGUUUUACACAAUGGAAGGGCUUAAAAC